rnacentral:rRNA from 1 species
GUCUCAGGCCGUAUCAGCCUGAAGGCGCCCGAUCUAGUCUGAUCUCGGAAGCUAAGCAGGGUCGGGCCUGGUUAGGAUCUUGGAUGGGAGACCACCUGGGAAUCCCGGGUGCUCGAGGCU